rnacentral:rRNA from 1 species
CAUGUCCUUUUGAAUAUAAUUUAAGGUCUAAUCUGCUCAAUGAGGAUUUAAAUAGCCGCGGUAUUUUGACCGUGCAAAGGUAGCAUAAUAAUUAGUUUUUUGAUUGAAAGCUGGAAUGAAUGAUUGGACGAGAAAAUAUCUGUCUCUUAUUUAUAUAUUGAAUUUUACUUUUUAGUGAAAAGGCUUAAAUGUUUAUUAAAGACGAGAAGACCCUAUAGAGUUUAAUUAUUCACAGGAAAUAUCUUUUUGGGAUUUAUAAAAUUUUUCUUUAAAAUAAUUUGGUUGGGGUGAUUUUUAGAUUUGAUAAACUCUAAUAGCUAAUAAUCAUUGAUUUAUGAAUUUUGAUUCUAGGAUUACUUAAUUUUAAAAUAAAUUACCUUAGGGAUAACAGCGUAAUUUUACUUUAGAGUUCUUAUUGACAGUAGAGUUUGCGACCUCGAUGUUGGAUUAAAAUUAAUUAUUGGUGCAGCAGCUAAUGGAUUGAGUCUGUUCGACUUUUAAAAUUUUACAUGAUCUGAGU